AAAUUGAAGAGUUUGAUCAUGGCUCAGAUUGAACGCUGGCGGCAGGCCUAACACAUGCAAUCGAACGGUAACAGGAAGCAGCUUGGCUGCUUUGCUGACGAGUGGCGGACGGGUGAGUAAUGUCUGGGAAACUGCCUGAUGGAGGGGGAUAACUACUGGAAACGGUGGCUAAUACCGCAUAACGUCGCAAGACCAAAGAGGGGGACCUUCGGGCCUCUUGCCAUCAGAUGUGCCCAGAUGGGAUUAGCUUGUUGGUGAGGUAACGGCUCACCAAGGCGACGAUCCCUAGCUGGUCUGAGAGGAUGACCAGCCACACUGGAACUGAGACACGGUCCAGACUCCUACGGGAGGCAGCAGUGGGGAAUAUUGCACAAUGGGCGCAAGCCUGAUGCAGCCAUGCCGCGUGUAUGAAGAAGGCCUUCGGGUUGUAAAGUACUUUCAGCGGGGAGGAAGGUGUUGUGGUUAAUAACCGCAGCAAUUGACGUUACCCGCAGAAGAAGCACCGGCUAACUCCGUGCAGCAGCCGCGGUAAUACGGAGGUGCAAGCGUUAAUCGGAAUUACUGGGCGUAAAGCGCACGCAGGCGGUCUGUCAAGUCGGAUGUGAAAUCCCCGGGCUCAACCUGGGAACUGCAUUCGAAACUGGCAGGCUUGAGUCUUGUAGAGGGGGGUAGAAUUCCAGGUGUAGCGGUGAAAUGCGUAGAGAUCUGGAGGAAUACCGGUGGCGAAGGCGGCCCCCUGGACAAAGACUGACGCUCAGGUGCGAAAGCGUGGGGAGCAAACAGGAUUAGAUACCCUGGUAGUCCACGCCGUAAACGAUGUCUACUUGGAGGUUGUGCCCUUGAGGCGUGGCUUCCGGAGCUAACGCGUUAAGUAGACCGCCUGGGGAGUACGGCCGCAAGGUUAAAACUCAAAUGAAUUGACGGGGGCCCGCACAAGCGGUGGAGCAUGUGGUUUAAUUCGAUGCAACGCGAAGAACCUUACCUGGUCUUGACAUCCACAGAAGAAUCCAGAGAUGGAUUUGUGCCUUCGGGAACUGUGAGACAGGUGCUGCAUGGCUGUCGUCAGCUCGUGUUGUGAAAUGUUGGGUUAAGUCCCGCAACGAGCGCAACCCUUAUCCUUUGUUGCCAGCGAUUAGGUCGGGAACUCAAAGGAGACUGCCAGUGAUAAACUGGAGGAAGGUGGGGAUGACGUCAAGUCAUCAUGGCCCUUACGACCAGGGCUACACACGUGCUACAAUGGCGCAUACAAAGAGAAGCGACCUCGCGAGAGCAAGCGGACCUCAUAAAGUGCGUCGUAGUCCGGAUUGGAGUCUGCAACUCGACUCCAUGAAGUCGGAAUCGCUAGUAAUCGUGGAUCAGAAUGCCACGGUGAAUACGUUCCCGGGCCUUGUACACACCGCCCGUCACACCAUGGGAGUGGGUUGCAAAAGAAGUAGGUAGCUUAACCUUCGGGAGGGCGCUUACCACUUUGUGAUUCAUGACUGGGGUGAAGUCGUAACAAGGUAACCGUAGGGGAACCUGCGGUUGGAUCACCUCCUUACCUU
rnacentral:rRNA from 1 species